AAAGAACACUAGCCCAGAGAUCUGG
rnacentral:piRNA from 1 species